rnacentral:rRNA from 1 species
UACGGGGGGGGCAAGCGUUGUUCGGAAUUACUGGGCGUGAAGGGCUCGUAGGCGGCCAACUAAGUCGGAUGUGAAAUCCCCAAGCUUAACUUGGGAACUGCAUCCGAUACUGGAUGGCUUGGAUCCGGGAGAGGGAUGCAGAAUUCCAGGUGUAGCGGUGAAAUGCGUAGAUAUCUGGAGGAAUACCGGUGGCGAAGGCGGCAUCCUGGACCGGCAUUGACGCUGAGGAGCGAAAGCUAGGGGAGCAAACGGG